rnacentral:rRNA from 1 species
AUUGAACGCUGGCGGAAUGCUUUACACAUGCAAGUCGAACGGCAGCACGGGGGCAGCCCUGGUGGCGAGUGGCGAACGGGUGAGUAAUACAUCUGAACGUGCCCGGUCGUGGGGGAUAACGUAGCGAAAGUUACGCUAAUACCGCAUACGAUCUGAGGAUGAAAGCGGGGGACCUUCGGGCCUCGCGCGCUCGGAGCGGCCGAUGUCAGAUUAGGUAGUUGGUGGGGUAAAGGCCUACCAAGCCGACGAUCUGUAGCUGGUCUGAGAGGACGACCAGCCACACUGGGACUGAGACACGGCCCAGACUCCUACGGGAGGCAGCAGUGGGGAAUUUUGGACAAUGGGCGCAAGCCUGAUCCAGCCAUUCCGCGUGCAGGACGAAGGCCUUCGGGUUGUAAACUGCUUUUGUACGGAACGAAAAGGCUCUGGCUAAUACCUGGGGCUCAUGACGGUACCGUAAGAAUAAGCACCGGCUAACUACGUG